AGGGCCCACGAGCGAUCUGGCUGCGACAUCUGUCACCCCACUGAUCCCCAGGGUUGAUGAGGCAGCUGUCCCCUUCCUCCAUCACCGCCCUGUGGGUGUUCCUCCCGGAAGCGGCCCAUUCUGUGGAAGAGGCUGGCCUUCCUGGUAGAGGAGGAUUAACAUUCUGUCAAGGGGAAUUGAAGAGCUGCGCUCUUGCUAGACUCUCCGAACCAACUCUGAAGAACUGUCUAAAGAACAGUGUGUGAAAAUGGAUGAGGUGCCUGGUGCACAUGCCU
rnacentral:snRNA from 1 species